rnacentral:rRNA from 1 species
CUACGUGCCAGCAGCCGCGGUAAUACGUAGGUGGCAAGCGUUGUCCGGAAUUAUUGGGCGUAAAGCGCGCGCAGSCGGAUCAGUCAGUCUGUCUUAAAAGUUCGGGGCUUAACCCCGUGAUGGGAUGGAAACUGCUGAUCUAGAGUAUCGGAGAGGAAAGUGGAAUUCCUAGUGUAGCGGUGAAAUGCGUAGAUAUUAGGAAGAACACCAGUGGCGAAGGCGACUUUCUGGAUGAAAACUGACGCUGAGGCGCGAAAGCCAGGGGAGCGAACGGGAUUAGAUACCCCGGUAGUCCUGGCCGUAAACGAUGGGUACUAGGUGUAGGAGGUAUCGACCCCUUCUGUGCCGGAGUUAACGCAAUAAGUACCCCGCCUGGGGAGUACGACCGCAAGGUUGAAACUCAAAGGAAUUGACGGGGGCCCGCACAAGCGGUGGAGUAUGUGGUUUAAUUCGACGCAACGCGAAGAACCUUMCCAGGUCUUGACAU